rnacentral:rRNA from 4 species
AGACCCGAAACCCGGUGAUCUAGCCAUGGGCAGGUUGAAGGUUGGGUAACACUAACUGGAGGACCGAACCGACUAAUGUUGAAAAAUUAGCGGAUGACCUGUGGCUGGGGGUGAAAGGCCAAUCAAACCGGGAGAUAGCUGGUUCUCCCCGAAAGCUAUUUAGGUAGCGCCUCGUGAAUUCAUCUCCGGGGGUAGAGCACUGUUUCGGCUAGGGGGCCAUCCCGGCUUACCAACCCGAUGCAAACUGCGAAUACCGGAGAAUGUUAUCACGGGAGACACACGGCGGGUGCUAACGUCCGUCGUGAAGAGGGAAACAACCCAGACCGCCAGCUAAGGUCCCAAAGUCAUGGUUAAGUGGGAAACGAUGUGGGAAGGCCCAGACAGCCAGGAUGUUGGCUUAGAAGCAGCCAUCAUUUAAAGAAAGCGUAAUAGCUCACUGGUCGAGUCGGCCUGCGCGGAAGAUGUAACGGGGCUAAACCAUGCACCGAAGCUGCGGCAGCGAACGUAUCACUUAAAGCGAUUCAGCGGGUUACGAUUGACGGAGC